AUUGAACGCUGGCGGCAGGCUUAACACAUGCAAGUCGAGCGGGGGAAGGUAGCUUGCUACCGGACCUAGCGGCGGACGGGUGAGUAAUGCUUAGGAAUCUGCCUAUUAGUGGGGGACAACAUCUCGAAAGGGAUGCUAAUACCGCAUACGUCCUACGGGAGAAAGCAGGGGAUCUUCGGACCUUGCGCUAAUAGAUGAGCCUAAGUCGGAUUAGCUAGUUGGUGGGGUAAGGGCCUACCAAGGCGACGAUCAGUAGCGGGUCUGAGUGGAUGGUCGGCCACACUGGGACUGAGAGACGGCCCAGACUCCUACGGGAGGCAGCAGUGGGGAAUAUUGGACAAUGGGGGGAACCCUGAUCCAGCCAUGCCGCGUGUGUGAAGAAGGCCUUAUGGUUGUAAAGCACUUUAAGCGAGGAGGAGGCUACUUUAGUUAAUACCUAGAGAUAGUGGACGUUACUCGCAGAAUAAGCACCGGCUAACUCUGUGCCAGCAGCCGCAGUAA
rnacentral:rRNA from 1 species